rnacentral:rRNA from 1 species
GACGAACGCUGGCGGCGUGCCUAAUACAUGCAAGUAGAACGCACAGUUUAUACCUUAGCUUGCUACACCAUAGACUGUGAGUUGCGAACGGGUGAGUAACGCGUAGGUAACCUGCCUGGUAGCGGGGGAUAACUAUUGUAAACGCUAGCUAAUACCGCAUAAUAUUAAUUAUUGCAUGAUAAUUAAUUGAAAGGUGCAAUUGCACCACUACCAGAUGGACCUGCGUUGUAUUAGCUAGUAGGUGAGGUAACGGCCCACCUAGGCCGCGAUACAUAGCCGACCUGAGAGGGAGGACGGCCACACCGGGACUGGGAAACGGCCCAGGAUCCUAAGGGGGGGAGCAAGAGGGAAAUUUCGGCCAAGGGGGGAAGGCUGACCGAACAAAGCCGGGUGGGGGGAGAAGGUCGUUGGGUCGGUAAGCUAUGUUGUAAGGGAAGAAAGGGCGUGGGCGUGGAACGUUCACAGGAUGACGGUAUCUGACCAGAAAGCAACGGCUAACUACGUG